CGCGCUCCCCCCUCCCUGCCCCCAGCGCCGCUGUCCCGUCGCCCGAGCCCCGCGCUGCCGCUCCGCCCAGGCCUGUCGCCCGGUCCGCCCGGCGGGCGGCGCGGCUCUGCUCCGGGUAUGAUGUCAAUCGUCCUUUAGGUCCAGCCAGUUGGUUGGUGUCGGGAGCAUGGAAGAACCCCAAGAGAUGCACCAUGGUUUUCUCCCCAAUGUGAAACUUGAAGAUGUGGAUAAGCGAAACCCCAGGUGAAUUUGCUUGCUACGAUUAUGGAUUUUGACGACCAAAGAAUAAAGGUAC